UACAGAGGGUGCGAGCGUUGUUCGGAAUUAUUGGGCGUAAAGGGCGCGUAGGCGGCGCCACAAGUCACCUGUGAAAACUCUGGGCUCAACCCAGAGCCUGCAGGCGAAACUGUGGUGCUGGAGUAUGGGAGAGGUGCGUGGAAUUCCCGGUGUAGCGGUGAAAUGCGCAGAUAUCGGGAAGAACACCCGUGGCGAAGGCGGCACUCUGGGACGGUACUGACGCUGAGACGCGAAAGCGUGGGGAGCGAACAGG
rnacentral:rRNA from 1 species